ensembl:snRNA U6 U6 spliceosomal RNA
GUGCUCGCUUUGGCAGCACAUAGACUAAAAUUGGAACGGUGCAGAGAGAAGACUAGCAUGGCCCCUGUGAAAGGAUGACAAGCAAAUUUGUGAAGCGUUCCAUAUUUUU